GGUUAAGCGACUAAGCGUACACGGUGGAUGCCCUGGCAGUCAGAGGCGAUGAAGGACGUGCUAAUCUGCGAUAAGCGUCGGUAAGGUGAUAUGAACCGUUAUAACCGGCGAUUUCCGAAUGGGGAAACCCAGUGUGAUUCGUCACACUAUCAUUAACUGAAUCCAUAGGUUAAUGAGGCGAACCGGGGGAACUGAAACAUCUAAGUACCCCGAGGAAAAGAAAUCAACCGAGAUUCCCCCAGUAGCGGCGAGCGAACGGGGAGCAGCCCAGAGCCUGAAUCAGUGUGUGUGUUAGUGGAAGCGUCUGGAAAGGCGCGCGAUACAGGGUGACAGCCCCGUACACAAAAAUGCACAUGCUGUGAGCUCGAUGAGUAGGGCGGGACACGUGGUAUCCUGUCUGAAUAUGGGGGGACCAUCCUCCAAGGCUAAAUACUCCUGACUGACCGAUAGUGAACCAGUACCGUGAGGGAAAGGCGAAAAGAACCCCGGCGAGGGGAGUGAAAAAGAACCUGAAACCGUGUACGUACAAGCAGUGGGAGCACAGAGCAAUCUGUGUGACUGCGUACCUUUUGUAUAAUGGGUCAGCGACUUAUAUUCUGUAGCAAGGUUAACCGAAUAGGGGAGCCGAAGGGAAACCGAGUCUUAACUGGGCGUUAAGUUGCAGGGUAUAGACCCGAAACCCGGUGAUCUAGCCAUGGGCAGGUUGAAGGUUGGGUAACACUAACUGGAGGACCGAACCGACUAAUGUUGAAAAAUUAGCGGAUGACUUGUGGCUGGGGGUGAAAGGCCAAUCAAACCGGGAGAUAGCUGGUUCUCCCCGAAAGCUAUUUAGGUAGCGCCUCGUGAAUUCAUCUCCGGGGGUAGAGCACUGUUUCGGCAAGGGGGUCAUCCCGACUUACCAACCCGAUGCAAACUGCGAAUACCGGAGAAUGUUAUCACGGGAGACACACGGCGGGUGCUAACGUCCGUCGUGAAGAGGGAAACAACCCAGACCGCCAGCUAAGGUCCCAAAGUCAUGGUUAAGUGGGAAACGAUGUGGGAAGGCCCAGACAGCCAGGAUGUUGGCUUAGAAGCAGCCAUCAUUUAAAGAAAGCGUAAUAGCUCACUGGUCGAGUCGGCCUGCGCGGAAGAUGUAACGGGGCUAAACCAUGCACCGAAGCUGCGGCAGCGACGCUUAUGCGUUGUUGGGUAGGGGAGCGUUCUGUAAGCCUGUGAAGGUGUGCUGUGAGGCAUGCUGGAGGUAUCAGAAGUGCGAAUGCUGACAUAAGUAACGAUAAAGCGGGUGAAAAGCCCGCUCGCCGGAAGACCAAGGGUUCCUGUCCAACGUUAAUCGGGGCAGGGUGAGUCGACCCCUAAGGCGAGGCCGAAAGGCGUAGUCGAUGGGAAACAGGUUAAUAUUCCUGUACUUGGUGUUACUGCGAAGGGGGGACGGAGAAGGCUAUGUUGGCCGGGCGACGGUUGUCCCGGUUUAAGCGUGUAGGCUGGUUUUCCAGGCAAAUCCGGAAAAUCAAGGCUGAGGCGUGAUGACGAGGCACUACGGUGCUGAAGCAACAAAUGCCCUGCUUCCAGGAAAAGCCUCUAAGCAUCAGGUAACAUCAAAUCGUACCCCAAACCGACACAGGUGGUCAGGUAGAGAAUACCAAGGCGCUUGAGAGAACUCGGGUGAAGGAACUAGGCAAAAUGGUGCCGUAACUUCGGGAGAAGGCACGCUGAUAUGUAGGUGAAGUCCCUCGCGGAUGGAGCUGAAAUCAGUCGAAGAUACCAGCUGGCUGCAACUGUUUAUUAAAAACACAGCACUGUGCAAACACGAAAGUGGACGUAUACGGUGUGACGCCUGCCCGGUGCCGGAAGGUUAAUUGAUGGGGUUAGCGGUAACGCGAAGCUCUUGAUCGAAGCCCCGGUAAACGGCGGCCGUAACUAUAACGGUCCUAAGGUAGCGAAAUUCCUUGUCGGGUAAGUUCCGACCUGCACGAAUGGCGUAAUGAUGGCCAGGCUGUCUCCACCCGAGACUCAGUGAAAUUGAACUCGCUGUGAAGAUGCAGUGUACCCGCGGCAAGACGGAAAGACCCCGUGAACCUUUACUAUAGCUUGACACUGAACAUUGAGCCUUGAUGUGUAGGAUAGGUGGGAGGCUUUGAAGUGUGGACGCCAGUCUGCAUGGAGCCGGCCUUGAAAUACCACCCUUUAAUGUUUGAUGUUCUAACGUUGGCCCCUGAUCGGGGUUGCGGACAGUGUCUGGUGGGUAGUUUGACUGGGGCGGUCUCCUCCUAAAGAGUAACGGAGGAGCACGAAGGUUGGCUAAUCCUGGUCGGACAUCAGGAGGUUAGUGCAAUGGCAUAAGCCAGCUUGACUGCGAGCGUGACGGCGCGAGCAGGUGCGAAAGCAGGUCAUAGUGAUCCGGUGGUUCUGAAUGGAAGGGCCAUCGCUCAACGGAUAAAAGGUACUCCGGGGAUAACAGGCUGAUACCGCCCAAGAGUUCAUAUCGACGGCGGUGUUUGGCACCUCGAUGUCGGCUCAUCACAUCCUGGGGCUGAAGUAGGUCCCAAGGGUAUGGCUGUUCGCCAUUUAAAGUGGUACGCGAGCUGGGUUUAGAACGUCGUGAGACAGUUCGGUCCCUAUCUGCCGUGGGCGCUGGAGAACUGAGGGGGGCUGCUCCUAGUACGAGAGGACCGGAGUGGACGCAUCACUGGUGUUCGGGUUGUCAUGCCAAUGGCACUGCCCGGUAGCUAAAUGCGGAAGAGAUAAGUGCUGAAAGCAUCUAAGCACGAAACUUGCCCCGAGAUGAGUUCUCCCUGACUCCUUGAGAGUCCUGAAGGAACGUUGAAGACGACGACGUUGAUAGGCCGGGUGUGUAAGCGCAGCGAUGCGUUGAGCUAACCGGUACUAAUGAACCGUGAGGCUUAACCUU
rnacentral:rRNA from 1 species